UACGUAGGGGGCUAGCGUUGUCCGGAAUCAUUGGGCGUAAAGAGCGUGUAGGCGGCCCGGUAAGUCCGCUGUGAAAGUCGGGGGCUCAACCCUCGAAUGCCGGUGGAUACUGUCGGGCUAGAGUGCGGAAGAGGCGAGUGGAAUUCCUGGUGUAGCGGUGAAAUGCGCAGAUAUCAGGGGGAACACCAAUUGCGAAGGCAGCUCGCUGGGACGUUACUGACGCUGAGACGCGAAAGCGUGGGGAGCAAACAGG
rnacentral:rRNA from 1 species